rnacentral:lncRNA from 1 species
CAGCCAGCACCAGGGCCUAGGUCCCAGUGCUGGGAAGGUGGAGGGAAAGACGCUUUUCCCAUCUGGAUAGGACCAGGAGGCAAGAAGCUUGGGGUGCAACGGCUGGGCCCUGCGGGCCGGGAGAGCUGAGAGGUGAAGCCUCCCUUCCUUGCAGGUGGCGCUGUGCUCCCGCACCAGGUUCAAGUGCACUAGAGGAGUGAUGACAUCAUCCAGGACGGAAACAGCAUCCCCACCGCGGGAGCACCGAGGAAGAGGGCAGCUCACUUGUUGCUCAGGACAGUAGGGAGUGGUUUUUCUCUCUGGCUAAAUCAUGUUUGAAGUUUGGUAGAAAGGGCUUCCUAAGGUGACAGGUUCUAUUGGACCCUUAAGAUUUGGAGGCAGGUUGUUUGGGUUCAGGUGAGCGUCCAGUGCUUUCCUGCAGCACCGUCACAGCCUUAUUUCAGUGAGGGAAGGAAGGGGAGCUGUUAAUGAGAAGCAGUUCUAUGGCCUGAAGACCUGGGCUCAAAACAAAACCAACAAACAAAACAGACCUGAGCUCUGACUUUUAUUAGCUGUGUGAUCAUGGAUAUAUUAGUUAACCUCUCUGGGCCAAAUUCUAUCUGCAAAAUAGAAUAUUGGUAUCCACCUCACAGAGUUGAAGGAUCAGCUGAAGCAACCUAAAGCAUCUAGCUAGUGCCCAGUGCCCAGCAGGCACAGGGGGGUGCAGUGGGACUGACAGUGAGGGCUGACAGUGGAAGCUCUAGCUGGCCUUAGCUCCAGCUCAUACCCUUUAGGUCCAGGAGCCAGUGUGUGUCUGUCUCCUCUCCUCUGGGCCCAGUGAUUGCUUAGGUGACUGGGGUGACAGGCAAGUGGGUGGAGGGAAUGGAGAAGAGUGUACCCUGGGAUCUGAGGGCUUUACCCCCAGGACUAGACUGCCCUCUGGUUUUGGUCAGACCUAGCACAGCGAUCUUGCUUCCUAGCUGGGGCACCCCACCCUCACCUCAAAGAUGGUGAAACUGCUGUGCCUCCUGCUGUUGAGGCAACCUGGAGGCAGAGAAACCUACAAGUGACACAGACCCAAGGUGGCAGUUCCACAGUGCCAAGGGGUGGCAGCACCUUCAAGAGAAUGAAAUUCAGAAAGAUGCCUUUCACCUACACCCGAUGGUGGGCAUGGCAGCAUUGUCAGCAUUCCUGCAGUUGGGGCAGGAAGUGGAAUUGGUGAGCAGGUGGGGAGGGCUGGGGAAGAUGAGGCCCCUCUGAGCCCUAGGGCACACAGAUAUGGGUGCUAUUCUCCAAAUAGUCACUCCACUUCUCUGCCUGCCGCCUUCCUGGGCCUGUGACUGCUGUGAGGACCUGGCCCUGAGCCCAUGGUUAGGCAGAGUCAUGGAAUGAGCAUCCCUGAACAUGCCUAAUAUAGCCAUCCCAGCACCCUGGGCUCCACUCUGCCCCAGCACCCCUGAGAACAACUCUGGCUACUGACUCCAGGCAGCAGGACUGGUUCAGGAGCAGACCUAGUAGAGGCCUGGCCUUCUAGACCUGGACAACCAGGUCAGUGGAGAGUCUUCUGCUUAGAGUUCAGAUUUUCCUCCAUGCUGCACUUUCUGAGGAUGUGAAUUUAUUUCUUGGCCAACUCAAAUAGUGUGGCAGGGAACCUGAGCUUCUAGAGUCCUCCAGGGAGCCCAGGGUUAGGAUCAGGACUCACAGUUCAGGACAACAGGUGGGGCACAGCCAUUCACAGCUAAAGGUUUGUAUAUAUUAUCAAAAUCUUAUGGAAAAACAGAUACACAGCUAUUCAUACAGCAGCAGGUGGGUGUGAGGAAAAUGUCUGCUUUGGCAUCAAACCUUCAAGUCCAGCUGCUGUCUGUCCCACUCCUCCUGUCUGGAGCCUACUCCCAUCAGGCACUGUGCAUCCAGGCCACUGCCCCUGCCACAUCCUCUAAUUAGCCUGGACUUUGGGGUAUCCUCAGCCCCUCCCCACGCUCCCCUUUGGGCCCCCAUGCCUCUCCAUCUUUCUGCCAUUUUCCCACACAGAGUGCCACUGGCCCAGCAGCUUUGCCCCGUGGGCUCCUCAGAGGCCUGAAUCCUGGCCCUGGAGGGCAGUGGGGCUGGGGUGGAUGUGGUCCCUGUGGGACAUCUUUCCUGGAUCACAGGCCUUUUGCAGCUUGCCAGCUACAUGGGCCCUGGACAGUGCCAUCUUCUCAGUGAUGUGCUAAAAGGACUCUUCUUGUCCAGAAACCUGAGCUCCAUGUACUAAAGCAAAAUUUGGAGAGCCUCAGAGACAAGAAAAGGAAAGUGAGAAGAGAUAAGGCAUCCUUCCUUGAGCGUGACCCAGGCCUGGACUCUCCCAUGGCAGAAUAGGGACAUCCACAGCAGAUGUGUCGCUGGUUGUGGAAGCGGAGCUCGGUCAGCGUGUUGUUCUGGAGGAGGGCCCGGAAGAUGGCCAGGAUGCCUUUGCCUGUGAUGUGGUUGGAGUCCAGGUUGAGGCUGGUGAUGGUCUUGUUGGCCUUGAGCAUGAUGGCAAUGGCAAAGGCCACGUGGUCAUCGGCUCGCGUGUUGGCCAAGGCGAACAGCUUAACCACAGUGUUGAACUCCAGAGCCUCAGUAAACCGGACCAAGAUCUCAUUUGUGAUGCAGUCUGAGUUGUUGACGUUCACCUCAGUCAUCUCGGGGUCAUUGUUCUUCACUCUCUCCAGAGGCUCAUCAAAUAUGCUGGGAGCUGCCUCCUCCUCCACCUUGGCCGGUCCUUCAGAGGGCUUGGUGGGGCCACUGGGCGUCUGUUUCUCGGGUGUUUUGGUCUUGCUGUCAUCCUUGGCUUCCUUUUCAUGUAAGGGUUCAUUCUUCUUGACUUUUUCAUCGUCCUUUUUGGUGUCUGUGUUCCCAGUUCCUCUUUUUACCUUCUCAUCCUCCUUUUUCAUGUCUGUGUUCCCACCUGCUCUUUUCAUCUUCUCACCCUCUUUUCUGGUGUCUGUGUUCCUACGCUCCCCUUUUACCUUCUCAUCAUCCUCUUUCUUGGCCACCUCCUUCAUCUCCUCUCUCUUUUUAUCCUUGUCCCUGCUCAAGCCUGUGUUCCUGUCACUCCCUUUCUUCUCCUCUUCCUUCUUGGUGGCCACUGCCCUCUCCUCUCCUCUCCCAUCCUUCCCUGCCUCCUUCUUAUCCACUGCAGCCCUGACCCGGCCCUUGUCAAUGCCCCGGAUGAUCUUCUCCUCCUUGGGCUUCUCGCCACUCUUGCCACCAGCUUCAUCUCUGUCUCUAGAGAAGCUUUUCUUUAAACCACCCCUCUUUGGCUCCUUCCCCAGAUCUGAGUCCCGUCUGGGGCCCAGGGCUUUUUUGCUGGCAUCUCUGCCCCUUUCCUCUCCAUUCUUGGCAUCUGUCUUGGUCUCCACUUGCUUGCUUUCCUA